rnacentral:rRNA from 1 species
GACGAACGCUGGCGGCGUGGAUUAGGCAUGCAAGUCGAACGGUAGGGACCUUUCGGGGUCCUGAGAGUGGCGAACGGGUGAGUAACACGUAGGUGAUCUACCCUCAAGACGGGGACAACCCAGGGAAACUUGGGCUAAUACCGGAUGAUAGCCAUCGCAAGGUGGUUUAAAAGGUGGCGUAAGCUGCCGUUUGGGGAUGAGCCUGCGCUCUAUUAGUUAGUUGGUGGGGUAACGGCCUACCAAGGCGAUGAUAGAUAGGCGGCCUUAACGGGUGGUCGCCCACACUGGGAUUGAGAUACGGCCCAGACUCCUACGGGUGGCUG